AUUGAACGCUGGCGGCAUGCUUUACACAUGCAAGUCGAACGGGGUUGGGAGCUUGCUUCCAAUCUAGUGGCGAACGGGUGAGUAAUACAUCGGAACGUACCGUGUAGUGGGGGAUAACGUAGCGAAAGUUACGCUAAUACCGCAUACGAUCCACGGAUGAAAGCAGGGACCUUCGGGCCUUGUGCUAUACGAGCGGCCGAUGUCUGAUUAGCUAGUUGGUGAGGUAAAGGCUCACCAAGGCGACGAUCAGUAGCGGGUCUGAGAGGAUGAUCCGCCACACUGGGACUGAGACACGGCCCAGACUCCUACGGGAGGCAGCAGUGGGGAAUUUUGGACAAUGGGCGCAAGCCUGAUCCAGCCAUG
rnacentral:rRNA from 1 species